ACCGAAUAAGACCCCACGAUGGCAUCAUUGAGAGGUCAAAGUGAUAGCGGUAUAAGAUGGGCUCGCGUCCAAUUAGCUAGUUGGUGAGGUAACGGCCCACCAAGGCGACGAUUGGUAGCCGGCCUGAGAGGGUGAUCGGCCACACUGGAACUGAGACACGGUCCAGACUCCUACGGGAGGCAGCAGUGGGGAAUAUUGGGCAAUGGAGGAAACUCUUACCCAGCAAUGCCGCGUGAGUGAAUUAGAAGGUCUUCGGAUUGUAAAGCUCUUUGAUUAGGGAAGAUAAUGACGUGUACCUAAAGAACAAGCCCCGGCUAACUAUGUGCCAGCAGCCGCGGUAAUACAUAGGGGGCGAGCGUUGUCCGGAAUGACUGGGCGUAAAGGGUGCGUAGGUGGUGUAUCAAGUUGGAAGUGUAAUACCCAGGGCUUAACUCGGGUGCUGCUUCCAAAACUGAUUUACUUGAGUGUCGGAGGGGAAAGUGGAAUUCCUAGUGUAGCGGUGGAAUGCGUAGAUAUUAGGAGGAACACCGGUGGCGAAAGCGGCUUUCUGGACGACAACUGACACUGAGGCACGAAAGCGUGGGGAGCAAACAGGAUUAGAUACCCUGGUAGUCCACGCCGUAAACGAUGGAUACUAGGUGUAGGGGGUAUCGACUCCCCCUGUACCGUAGCAAACGCAUUAAGUAUCCCGCCUGAGUAGUACGGUCGCAAGGCUAAAACUCAAAGAAAUUGACGGGGACCCGCACAAGCAGCGGAGCAUGUGGUUUAAUUCGAUGCAACGCGAAGAACCUUACCAAGACUUGACAUCUAUAUGACCGCCUUCGAAAAAGGGCUUCUCUUCGGAGCAUAUAGAC
rnacentral:rRNA from 1 species